UACGUAGGGCGCAAGCGUUGUCCGGAAUUAUUGGGCGUAAAGAGCUCGUAGGCGGUUUGUCGCGUCUGCUGUGAAAAACCUAAGGCUCAACCUUGGGCUUGCAGUGGGUACGGGCAGACUAGAGUGCGGUAGGGGAGAUUGGAAUUCCUGGUGUAGCGGUGAAAUGCGCAGAUAUCAGGAGGAACACCGGUGGCGAAGGCGGGUCUCUGGGCCGAUACUGACGCUGAGGAGCGAAAGCGUGGGGAGCGAACAGG
rnacentral:rRNA from 1 species